rnacentral:misc_RNA from 1 species
GCCCUUGGGUAUUCCUGGGGGCAUGCCUGUUUGAGAACCUUGACGUACCUCACACCCCACCUUGGUGUUUUAGCUUCGGCGAAAUGAUCCUCACUGGUGCGGGUUCGUGGACCUGGGUCUGUUCUUUUUCUCACGAAAAAGAGGCCUUAAAUGAAAUGUCGACCGCAUUCUUCAGCUUGGCUGGGUUUUGCUUGAGGCACAUCAAGACGUGAUUAAUACCUUCAUUGGUUUUUCCCAGCGUCGAUAAGUGAGUCUCGCAAACCGUUCCCAAUUUGAUUGUAGCGCAAUCGCUCGUACUUUAACAUGCCAGGCAGUUUGAACCUCUCGUUUGAGGCGAUAACUGGACACCUGAACACCUGGUCUCAAAUCAGACAAGAAUACCCGCUGAACUUAA